rnacentral:lncRNA from 1 species
CGGAGCCUUCUCACUUGCUGGCUUCGUGGUCACAGCAGGCGGCUUUCCCUCGCUCUCUCCCUCGCUCGUGUGUUUGUUCAUUGGACCUCUCUGCUGCUGCUGGCCGGGGCUAAAUGCUGAGAUACUGAGAUGAAGAUGACAGAGACCCUGCUCUCAAAUGGCUCACGGCCAGGUCGGGGAGGCAGACAGCUAACUGACCCACUUCCUAAUGGUUCAGUCUGAACAGUUUUUUUAUCUUCUGGGGGUACAGUGAGCAUCCUAUUUGGGACCAGUUCAGAAAGUUUUGACUGUCACAAAGAAGAGUUUGCUGCGAUGGGCAGUGGGGAGCCAAGGAAGGCUCUUGAGUGGGAGAAUGGCAUGAUUAAAGAAGUUCCCUCUAAUCUGCUGUGAGGAGCAAACGUGGCAGCAGAGAGACCAGUGUGGAGGCUGUAGGUGAGGAUGGCGAUGUCACCACUUCAAAGAGGCCUUUCCUGACCAUCUGGCUCACUAGAAUAUGAGUGCCAAGAGGGCAGGAGUUUGUCUGUUGUGUGGCAGAGACCAACAAUAAGAAGUUGACACUUCAACAAGAUCCUUUCUGCUAGGGAUACGUGCUAUCAGAAGAAUCAGGAAACACCAGGAACUCCGGAGAGACCUUCACUGAGUUCUGGCGAAACGAGUGAGUUGACUGAGUCCUCUACAUGCCUGGCGCUGUGUGGAGUGUUUCCCCGCAUCGUCUCAUCCAAUCCUCAGAAAUAAUCGUGUGCAGGAAGUGCCGUUACUUUCCUUUCUUUUACAAAUAAAGAACCAAUGCUCAGAGAGGGCAAGUGAUUUGCCCAAGAUCACACAGCCCACAAGUGUCAGAACCAGGAUCCCAGCCCAGACCCGCAGGCUCUGGCGUCUACCCUUGUAACCCUGGCACCUGAGUCUCCCAAACUCCCUUCUGCUCCGAGUGUUGUGUCAUCCGUGCUCUGUCUUCCUUCCUCUGUGUUCUAAAUGGACUCCCCACUCGCCCUUUUUUUUUUU